CCUACGGGAGACAGCAGUGAGGAAUAUUGGUCAAUGGCCGCGAGGCUGAACCAGCCAAGUCGCGUGAGGGAAGAAUGUCCUAUGGAUUGUAAACCUCUUUUGUCAGGGGGCAAAGUCACCCACGUGUGGGUGUUGGAGGGUACCUGAAGAAAAAGCAUCGGCUAACUCCGUGCCAGCAGCCGCGGUAAUACGGAGGAUGCGAGCGUUAUCCGGAUUUAUUGGGUUUAAAGGGUGCGUAGGCGGGUUAUCAAGUCAGCGGGAAAAUCGGGGAGCUCAACUCCACCCAGCCGUGGAAACUGAUGAUCUUGAGUGGGCGAGAAGUAGGCGGAAUGCGUGGUGUAGCGGUGAAAUGCAUAGAUAUCACGCAGAACUCCGAUUGCGAAGGCAGCAUACCGGCGCCCGACUGACGCUGAAGCACGAAAGCGUGGGUAUCGAACAGGAUUAGAUACCCUUGUAGUC
rnacentral:rRNA from 1 species